GUUCAAUAUUUACUCAUGCUUCUAACUUAUUUUAAUAAUAUUUAAGGGAACUCAAAUGCGAGGUUGGGAGGAGGGACUCCACGGAAAGCAGUUAAAAAUGUUUUGAAUGUUAUCACGGAAUACAGGCAUUAUUUAGCUUCUUAUUAUAAAUAUACUAUUGUUGGUGACAAAAUUGGUUAUGAUGCAAGCAACAUCGAGGAUGCCAUUGGCGACACGUUAAAACGAGCCAAAAAAAUAAUGUUUUUGCUAGACUGUAUUUAUACAUUGAUAUUAUCAAAAAUAUUACUCUUUUUAUUUUUUUGUAAUAUUUUAUGUCAAUACUGGAAUUUAAUUUUUUAUUAA